rnacentral:lncRNA from 1 species
CGGCGGUUGAAGUUGGCGACGGAGCUCGGCUCCCGUAGGAGUCCGGGCGGAGUCCCUCUUGAGGUUGGAGCUGUGGAUAGAGUCCAUUUCCCGUGGGAGUCCGGGCGGAUCUUACCGGCAGUUGAAGUUGGCGAUGGAGCUCGGCUCCCGUAGGAGUUCGGGCGGAGUCCCUCUUGAGGUUGGAGCUGUGGACAGAGCCCAUCUC